GUGCUUAACACAUGCAAGUCGAGUGCGCGGUUGUAGCAAUACAACUGGCGCACGGCGCACGGGUGCGUAACACGUGGGCAAUCUGCCCUCCGAUGGGGAAUAACUCCGGGAAACCGAAGCUAAUUCCGCAUAACAUUCCCUGGACUCCGGUUUGGGGAAUCAAAGCAGUGAUGCGUCGGAGGAGGAGCCCGCGCCCGAUUAGCUAGUUGGUAGGGUAACGGCCUACCAAGGCUAUGAUCGGUAGCUGGUCUGAGAGGAUGGCCAGCCACACUGGAACUGAGAC
rnacentral:rRNA from 1 species